UUAAGCGACUAAGCGUACACGGUGGAUGCCCUGGCAGUCAGAGGCGAUGAAGGACGUGCUAAUCUGCGAUAAGCGUCGGUAAGGUGAUAUGAACCGUUAUAACCGGCGAUUUCCGAAUGGGGAAACCCAGUGUGAUUCGUCACACUAUCAUUAACUGAAUCCAUAGGUUAAUGAGGCGAACCGGGGGAACUGAAACAUCUAAGUACCCCGAGGAAAAGAAAUCAACCGAGAUUCCCCCAGUAGCGGCGAGCGAACGGGGAGCAGCCCAGAGCCUGAAUCAGUGUGUGUGUUAGUGGAAGCGUCUGGAAAGGCGCGCGAUACAGGGUGACAGCCCCGUACACAAAAAUGCACAUGCUGUGAGCUCGAUGAGUAGGGCGGGACACGUGGUAUCCUGUCUGAAUAUGGGGGGACCAUCCUCCAAGGCUAAAUACUCCUGACUGACCGAUAGUGAACCAGUACCGUGAGGGAAAGGCGAAAAGAACCCCGGCGAGGGGAGUGAAAAAGAACCUGAAACCGUGUACGUACAAGCAGUGGGAGCACAGAGCAAUCUGUGUGACUGCGUACCUUUUGUAUAAUGGGUCAGCGACUUAUAUUCUGUAGCAAGGUUAACCGAAUAGGGGAGCCGAAGGGAAACCGAGUCUUAACUGGGCGUUAAGUUGCAGGGUAUAGACCCGAAACCCGGUGAUCUAGCCAUGGGCAGGUUGAAGGUUGGGUAACACUAACUGGAGGACCGAACCGACUAAUGUUGAAAAAUUAGCGGAUGACUUGUGGCUGGGGGUGAAAGGCCAAUCAAACCGGGAGAUAGCUGGUUCUCCCCGAAAGCUAUUUAGGUAGCGCCUCGUGAAUUCAUCUCCGGGGGUAGAGCACUGUUUCGGCAAGGGGGUCAUCCCGACUUACCAACCCGAUGCAAACUGCGAAUACCGGAGAAUGUUAUCACGGGAGACACACGGCGGGUGCUAACGUCCGUCGUGAAGAGGGAAACAACCCAGACCGCCAGCUAAGGUCCCAAAGUCAUGGUUAAGUGGGAAACGAUGUGGGAAGGCCCAGACAGCCAGGAUGUUGGCUUAGAAGCAGCCAUCAUUUAAAGAAAGCGUAAUAGCUCACUGGUCGAGUCGGCCUGCGCGGAAGAUGUAACGGGGCUAAACCAUGCACCGAAGCUGCGGCAGCGACGCUGAUGCGUUGUUGGGUAGGGGAGCGUUCUGUAAGCCUGCGAAGGUGUGCUGUGAGGCAUGCUGGAGGUAUCAGAAGUGCGAAUGCUGACAUAAGUAACGAUAAAGCGGGUGAAAAGCCCGCUCGCCGGAAGACCAAGGGUUCCUGUCCAACGUUAAUCGGGGCAGGGUGAGUCGACCCCUAAGGCGAGGCCGAAAGGCGUAGUCGAUGGGAAACAGGUUAAUAUUCCUGUACUUGGUGUUACUGCGAAGGGGGGACGGAGAAGGCUAUGUUGGCCGGGCGACGGUUGUCCCGGUUUAAGCGUGUAGGCUGGUUUUCCAGGCAAAUCCGGAAAAUCAAGGCUGAGGCGUGAUGACGAGGCACUACGGUGCUGAAGCAACAAAUGCCCUGCUUCCAGGAAAAGCCUCUAAGCAUCAGGUAACAUCAAAUCGUACCCCAAACCGACACAGGUGGUCAGGUAGAGAAUACCAAGGCGCUUGAGAGAACUCGGGUGAAGGAACUAGGCAAAAUGGUGCCGUAACUUCGGGAGAAGGCACGCUGAUAUGUAGGUGAAGUCCCUCGCGGAUGGAGCUGAAAUCAGUCGAAGAUACCAGCUGGCUGCAACUGUUUAUUAAAAACACAGCACUGUGCAAACACGAAAGUGGACGUAUACGGUGUGACGCCUGCCCGGUGCCGGAAGGUUAAUUGAUGGGGUCAGCGCAAGCGAAGCUCUUGAUCGAAGCCCCGGUAAACGGCGGCCGUAACUAUAACGGUCCUAAGGUAGCGAAAUUCCUUGUCGGGUAAGUUCCGACCUGCACGAAUGGCGUAAUGAUGGCCAGGCUGUCUCCACCCGAGACUCAGUGAAAUUGAACUCGCUGUGAAGAUGCAGUGUACCCGCGGCAAGACGGAAAGACCCCGUGAACCUUUACUAUAGCUUGACACUGAACAUUGAGCCUUGAUGUGUAGGAUAGGUGGGAGGCUUUGAAGUGUGGACGCCAGUCUGCAUGGAGCCGGCCUUGAAAUACCACCCUUUAAUGUUUGAUGUUCUAACGUUGACCCGUAAUCCGGGUUGCGGACAGUGUCUGGUGGGUAGUUUGACUGGGGCGGUCUCCUCCUAAAGAGUAACGGAGGAGCACGAAGGUUGGCUAAUCCUGGUCGGACAUCAGGAGGUUAGUGCAAUGGCAUAAGCCAGCUUGACUGCGAGCGUGACGGCGCGAGCAGGUGCGAAAGCAGGUCAUAGUGAUCCGGUGGUUCUGAAUGGAAGGGCCAUCGCUCAACGGAUAAAAGGUACUCCGGGGAUAACAGGCUGAUACCGCCCAAGAGUUCAUAUCGACGGCGGUGUUUGGCACCUCGAUGUCGGCUCAUCACAUCCUGGGGCUGAAGUAGGUCCCAAGGGUAUGGCUGUUCGCCAUUUAAAGUGGUACGCGAGCUGGGUUUAGAACGUCGUGAGACAGUUCGGUCCCUAUCUGCCGUGGGCGCUGGAGAACUGAGGGGGGCUGCUCCUAGUACGAGAGGACCGGAGUGGACGCAUCACUGGUGUUCGGGUUGUCAUGCCAAUGGCACUGCCCGGUAGCUAAAUGCGGAAGAGAUAAGUGCUGAAAGCAUCUAAGCACGAAACUUGCCCCGAGAUGAGUUCUCCCUGACUCCUUGAGAGUCCUGAAGGAACGUUGAAGACGACGACGUUGAUAGGCCGGGUGUGUAAGCGCAGCGAUGCGUUGAGCUAACCGGUACUAAUGAACCGUGAGGCUUAACCUU
rnacentral:rRNA from 4 species